UCAUAUUACUUGAAACCAAAUACUACGAUUAUUGCAAUAUUUUUCGAUCUCGAAACAUUCAUAAUUCUUUAACUAUUAUAUAUUAUAGUUAUUUUUUAUGCCUUAUUUGUUUGUACUUAAUGGAUGUCUAAAUCAAAAUCAUUCAAAUCUCAGUCAUUACGUGAGUUUAUUUUUUUAGAUCUGAAUCUUACAUUCAGAUAAGACCGUUUGUUUUUUCAAUUUUACAAUCACUUAAUGGGUCUAACAAACCUUAACGAUUAAGAUCUAUAAUAAAGUCUUACGCCUUAUUUGUUUGCACUUAAUAGAAGUCUGAAUCUUAAUUAUUUAAAUCUCAGUCAUUAAAUGCAUUUAUUUUUUAUAUCUGAAUUUUAAUCACUAAGAUAUUAACCACUAAGUCUAUUUAUUUUUCAUUUUUAAAAUCACUUAAUGGGUCGAAUAAUUCUUAAUAAUUAAGAUUUAUAGCAGUCUUAAUAUCAUUAAGAUGUUAUACAAUUAAAAUUUUAUGUAAAAAUGAUAUUUCACUAUGACUCUUACACUUUUGCCACUAAUCACUACUACCAUUUCUAUCGCUGUCCCCGCCACUAUUAUAAACUAGUACCACCAACUAUCCACCAUCCUCAGCCACAACCACCACUACUAACAACAACGAAUAUAAGUUGUCACUAUCACUAGCCAUCAUGUACAAUCAUCACCACCAACCACCUUUACCAUAACAAUCAUCGCUAUCAUCCACCAUUAUAUAUCACAACCUACUGUUAUUGGUCAUCGCGACCAUCAACCACCACCGUUAGCUAUUAGUAUCAUCCACCAUCUAGUACCUACAUAACUAUUAACCGACACCAUCACCAAUCAUUACCUAGUCGGCAUCUACAACCACCGAUGAUAGCCAUCGUCACCGGUAGCCACUACAUAAUUUUAAACACUAUAUUAUUAAAGUUUUCAAUUAAUUAGUACUAUUUGAUUUAAAUUUAGACUUAUUAAUUUUUGAAUGAAGAUAUGUUUUUAACAUUUAUAUGUAGGAAAAACAAACAGUCUUAAUUAUUUAGUAUUCGAAUCUUAAUACAACAUCUUAACAUUCAGAUGCGUAUUAAUUCAAACUUUUUAAUUUUAAUACACAUAUUGAUAUACAGAAAUGAGGUCUUAAUAUAAUCAAGAUGUUAUACAUUCAAGAAUUUUUGUAAAAAUUUAUGUUUUACUAUUUCGUCACUAAUCAUCGUCAUCAAUCGUUGUCCUAUAUCAUUAUAGACUACCACAACCCACUACCCAAAACCCAUUACCGCCAUUCUCAACCACAACCACCAUCAAUGCCAAAUAUGAAUGUCAGUUGUCGCUAUCACUGGGCAUCAUUUACAAUCCUCACCGCCAACCGCCAUUACCACAAUAACUGUCGAUCACGCUAUCAACCACCAAUAUAUAUCGCCAUCGCUUAAUUAGUCACUACCAACAUCAAACACCACUUUUAACUACUAGUGUCAUCCACUAUCUACUACCUAUAAUCACCACUAUCAACCAACACCACUACCAACUACUACCUAAUCGGCACCCACAAUCAUCACUGUUAGCCAUCAUCACCAUCGACCACCAUAUAAUUUUGAAAAAAUAUUUUCUUAAUAUAAUGUUUACUAUUUGAUUUGAAUUUAUACUUAUUAUUUUUUAAAUAAAGAUAAUAUUGAUAUGUUUCAGAUGUAAAGAAACCAAACAGUUUUAAUUAUUCAGUAUUUAUACCUUAAUAUAAAUAUAUUUUGAUAUUCAUUAAGUGUAUUCUAAUUCGACGGAAGCAUAUGACGCCUAAAUACGGCUACUUGUGCAGUUGUUCCCACUUAAACCCACAAGUAAAAGCGUGAUACCUAUGCCCAACAAGCAAUCCAAAUGAAACGAGAAUAACUGGUGCGACGGAGAUCGAGUCUUCCUUCCGUCAUAGUCCGACGAAGAAGCUCCGCCUUUGCUCUGCUGCUAUACCCGGUGAGCUCCGCCUUAUUCUUCAUUUAUUUGUAUGAAUCCUCACAAAAAUUUGCAUACUCAAACCAAGUAUUUGCAACAAUUCUCGAGUCUCGAGUGCAAGACGGUAUUACCUCUGCUGUGUCAAUCGAGGACUUUACUUCUCUUUCUGUUUCUCAAAUGAAAACCUCAAUUUUAGUAGUCUGAAAAAGGAAUAUUAUCUCAACAGACAAUAGUAGUCUGGAAAAGAGAAAUAUUUUGCAUUUAACU
rnacentral:lncRNA from 1 species